CGCACAUUGCGCCCUUUGGUAUUCCGAAGGGCACGCCUGUUUGAGCGUCAUUUUCCACCUCAAGCUCUGCUUGGUAUUGGACCGUUGUGCCUGCGGGCAGGUCUCGAACGAAUUGGCGAUAGACCCCCGGGAGCGUGAUGGACUUCACAGCGACACGGUGGGUGUAUCUACGAUCUCUUUCUUUCAGGUUGACCUCAGAUCAGGCGGGGAUACCCGCUGAACUUAA
rnacentral:misc_RNA from 1 species